rnacentral:rRNA from 1 species
CAGUAGCCGCGGUAAUACGUAGGUGGCAAGCGUUGUCCGGAAUUAUUGGGCGUAAAGGGCUCGCAGGCGGUUUCUUAAGUCUGAUGUGAAAGCCCCCGGCUCAACCGGGGAGGGUCAUUGGAAACUGGGAAACUUGAGUGCAGAAGAGGAGAGUGGAAUUCCACGUGUAGCGGUGAAAUGCGUAGAGAUGUGGAGGAACACCAGUGGCGAAGGCGACUCUCUGGUCUGUAGCUGACGCUGAGGAGCGAAAGCGUGGGGAGCGAACAGGAUUAGAUACCCCGGUAGUCCCUGUCUCUUAUAC